AUUGAACGCUGGCGGCAGGCCUAACACAUGCAAGUAGAACGAGUGGCGGACGGGUGAGUAAUGUCUGGGAAACUGCACGAGGGAGGGGGAAAACUACUGGAAAAGGUAGCUAAUACCGCAUACCAUCGGAUGUGCCCAGAUGGGAUUAGGGAGUAGGUGGGGUAACGGUGCACCUAGGCGACGAGCACUAGCUGGUCUGAGAGGAUGACCCGCCACCCUGUGACUGAGACACGGUCCAGACGCCUACGUGAGGCAGCAGUGGGGAAUAUUGCACAAUGGGCGCAAGCCUGAUGCAGCCAUGCCGCGUGUAUGAAGAAGGCCUUCGGGUUGUAAAGUUCUUUCAGCGAGGAGGCGUUACUCGCAGAAGAAGCACCGGCUAACUCCGUGCCAGCAGCCGCGGUAAUUC
rnacentral:rRNA from 1 species